UACAGAGGUCUCAAGCGUUGUUCGGAUUCAUUGGGCGUAAAGGGCUCGUAGGCGGCCAACUAAGUCAUACGUGAAAUCCCUCGGCUUAACCGGGGAACUGCGUCUGAUACUGGAUGGCUUGAGUUCGGGAGAGGGAUGCGGAAUUCCAGGUGUAGCGGUGAAAUGCGUAGAUAUCUGGAGGAACACCGGUGGCGAAGGCGGCAUCCUGGACCGAUACUGACGCUGAGGAGCGAAAGCCAGGGGAGCAAAGCGGG
rnacentral:rRNA from 1 species